rnacentral:rRNA from 1 species
UCCACGGAGAGUUUGAUCCUGGCUCAGGAUGAACGCUGGCGGCGUGCUUAACACAUGCAAGUCGAGCGGUAAGGCCCCUUCGGGGGUACACGAGCGGCGAACGGGUGAGUAACACGUGGGGAACCUGCCCUUCUCUUCGGGAUAACUCCGGGAAACCGGUGCUAAUACCGGAUACUCCGGCGAGGCCGCAUGGUCUUGUCGGGAAAGCUCCGGCGGAGAGGGAUGGCCCCGCGGCCCAUUAGCUAGUUGGUGAGGUAACGGCCCACCAAGGCGACGAUGGGUAGCCGAGCUGAGAGGCUGAUCGGCCACACUGGGACUGAGACACGGCCCAGACUCCUACGGGAGGCAGCAGUGGGGAAUUU